UUAAGCGACUAAGCGUACACGGUGGAUGCCCUGGCAGUCAGAGGCGAUGAAGGACGUGCUAAUCUGCGAAAAGCGUCGGUAAGGUGAUAUGAACCGUUAUAGCCGGCGAUGUCCGAAUGGGGAAACCCAGUGCAAUUCGUUGCACUAUCGUUAACUGAAUACAUAGGUUAACGAGGCGAACCGGGGGAACUGAAACAUCUAAGUACCCCGAGGAAAAGAAAUCAACCGAGAUUCCCCCAGUAGCGGCGAGCGAACGGGGAGCAGCCCAGAGUCUGAAUCAGCUUGUGUGUUAGUGGAACGGUCUGGAAAGUCCGACGGUACAGGGUGAUAGUCCCGUACACCAAAAUGCACAGGUUGUGAACUCGAAGAGUAGGGCGGGACACGUGGUAUCCUGUCUGAAUAUGGGGGGACCAUCCUCCAAGGCUAAAUACUCCUGACUGACCGAUAGUGAACCAGUACCGUGAGGGAAAGGCGAAAAGAACCCCGGCGAGGGGAGUGAAAAAGAACCUGAAACCGUGUACGUACAAGCAGUGGGAGCACCUUCGGGUGUGACUGCGUACCUUUUGUAUAAUGGGUCAGCGACUUAUAUUCUGUAGCAAGGUUAACCGUAUAGGGGAGCCGCAGGGAAACCGAGUCUUAACUGGGCGUUAAGUUGCAGGGUAUAGACCCGAAACCCGGUGAUCUAGCCAUGGGCAGGUUGAAGGUUGGGUAACACUAACUGGAGGACCGAACCGACUAAUGUUGAAAAAUUAGCGGAUGACUUGUGGCUGGGGGUGAAAGGCCAAUCAAACCGGGAGAUAGCUGGUUCUCCCCGAAAGCUAUUUAGGUAGCGCCUCGUGAACUCAUCUUCGGGGGUAGAGCACUGUUUCGGCUAGGGGGUCAUCCCGACUUACCAACCCGAUGCAAACUACGAAUACCGAAGAAUGUUAUCACGGGAGACACACGGCGGGUGCUAACGUCCGUCGUGAAGAGGGAAACAACCCAGACCGCCAGCUAAGGUCCCAAAGUCAUGGUUAAGUGGGAAACGAUGUGGGAAGGCACAGACAGCCAGGAUGUUGGCUUAGAAGCAGCCAUCAUUUAAAGAAAGCGUAAUAGCUCACUGGUCGAGUCGGCCUGCGCGGAAGAUGUAACGGGGCUAAACCAUGCACCGAAGCUGCGGCAGCGACACUAUGUGUUGUUGGGUAGGGGAGCGUUCUGUAAGCCUGCGAAGGUGUGCUGUGAGGCAUGCUGGAGGUAUCAGAAGUGCGAAUGCUGACAUAAGUAACGAUAAAGCGGGUGAAAAGCCCGCUCGCCGGAAGACCAAGGGUUCCUGUCCAACGUUAAUCGGGGCAGGGUGAGUCGACCCCUAAGGCGAGGCCGAAAGGCGUAGUCGAUGGGAAACAGGUUAAUAUUCCUGUACUUGGUGUUACUGCGAAGGGGGGACGGAGAAGGCUAUGUUAGCCGGGCGACGGUUGUCCCGGUUUAAGCAUGUAGGCUGGUUAUCCAGGCAAAUCCGGAUAAUCAAGGCUGAGGUGUGAUGACGAGGCACUACGGUGCUGAAGUAACAAAUGCCCUGCUUCCAGGAAAAGCCUCUAAGCAUCAGGUAACAUCAAAUCGUACCCCAAACCGACACAGGUGGUCAGGUAGAGAAUACCAAGGCGCUUGAGAGAACUCGGGUGAAGGAACUAGGCAAAAUGGUGCCGUAACUUCGGGAGAAGGCACGCUGGUGUGUAGGUGAAGUCCCUGCGGAUGGAGCUGAGACCAGUCGAAGAUACCAGCUGGCUGCAACUGUUUAUUAAAAACACAGCACUGUGCAAACACGAAAGUGGACGUAUACGGUGUGACGCCUGCCCGGUGCCGGAAGGUUAAUUGAUGGGGUUAUCCGUAAGGAGAAGCUCUUGAUCGAAGCCCCGGUAAACGGCGGCCGUAACUAUAACGGUCCUAAGGUAGCGAAAUUCCUUGUCGGGUAAGUUCCGACCUGCACGAAUGGCGUAAUGAUGGCCAGGCUGUCUCCACCCGAGACUCAGUGAAAUUGAACUCGCUGUGAAGAUGCAGUGUACCCGCGGCAAGACGGAAAGACCCCGUGAACCUUUACUAUAGCUUGACACUGAACAUUGAGCCUUGAUGUGUAGGAUAGGUGGGAGGCUUUGAAGCGUGGACGCCAGUCUGCGUGGAGCCAACCUUGAAAUACCACCCUUUAAUGUUUGAUGUUCUAACGUUGGCCCCUUACCGGGGUUGCGGACAGUGUCUGGUGGGUAGUUUGACUGGGGCGGUCUCCUCCCAAAGCGUAACGGAGGAGCACGAAGGUUAGCUAAUCCUGGUCGGACAUCAGGAGGUUAGUGCAAUGGCAUAAGCUAGCUUGACUGCGAGCGUGACGGCGCGAGCAGGUGCGAAAGCAGGUCAUAGUGAUCCGGUGGUUCUGAAUGGAAGGGCCAUCGCUCAACGGAUAAAAGGUACUCCGGGGAUAACAGGCUGAUACCGCCCAAGAGUUCAUAUCGACGGCGGUGUUUGGCACCUCGAUGUCGGCUCAUCACAUCCUGGGGCUGAAGUAGGUCCCAAGGGUAUGGCUGUUCGCCAUUUAAAGUGGUACGCGAGCUGGGUUUAGAACGUCGUGAGACAGUUCGGUCCCUAUCUGCCGUGGGCGCUGGAGAAUUGAGGGGGGCUGCUCCUAGUACGAGAGGACCGGAGUGGACGCAUCACUGGUGUUCAGGUUGUCAUGCCAAUGGCACUGCCCGGUAGCUAAAUGCGGAAGAGAUAAGUGCUGAAAGCAUCUAAGCACGAAACUUGCCCCGAGAUGAGUUCUCCCUGAGACUUUAAGUCUCCUGAAGGAACGUUAAAGACGAUGACGUUGAUAGGCCGGGUGUGUAAGCGCAGCGAUGCGUUGAGCUAACCGGUACUAAUGAACCGUGAGGCUUAACCUU
rnacentral:rRNA from 1 species